AUGACCACAAUGAGCAGCAUUGAAGAGCCAGCGUUCAAAUGCUUCUCCCACAUGGGAGUCAGUAUUCUGCAGAGAUGGAUGAUUCUCAGAUCACCACUUAGCUUCCUGAAGCCAGCAACCUAUGUCAAAGCAGCAGUAGGACAAAGAACAUGGCUGCCGCUUCAAAUCUUAUGUAAAUUCACCUCAUCACUGGAACCAAAUUUAUAUCUAAUAAAAAGUUUGAUAAUAGCAAGAUAGAGGAAGAUAAGAAGAUAUCCUGUAGAUCGGGGUCCCCAUGCUCCAGGCCAUGGACCGAUACUGUUAGGAACUGGGCUACACAGCAGGAGGUGAGCCGGGUGAGCAAGUGAAGCUUCAUCUGUAUUUAAAGCCCCUCUCUAUCACUCGCAUUACUGCCUGAGCUCCACCUCCUUUCAUCAGCGGGGGCAUUAGAUUCUCAUAGGAGCGCGAACCCUAUUGUGAACUGCACAUACGCGGAAUCUA
rnacentral:lncRNA from 1 species